rnacentral:sRNA from 1 species
AUUAGCCUUGAACAAUAGAGACAGCUACCUUUUAAUAUCUUUGUGCGUACUUCACACUACUCUCAUAGCUAUCCUUGUAGCCCACCUCUUACAUCCUUAGUGGCGCAUUUUGCUAUCCCCCACCACUCCCCCGGGCCCUCCCCCCGAGCAAACGGAGUAAAAUAAAGGUUUAAACUCGGAAGCUCACAAGUAGGGCUGUGAACCCGAUGCCCGAACAGGAACCUUCAUUUUUCAUAAAGAUCCAUAUAGAUCAAUAAAAUAUCCACCAAUCGAAUAAACCAAUGCGUAGAUACAUUCAGGGACGAUCCAGCAUCUCCACUUAGAUAUACUCUAAUAAAUAUACAUCAGCUGCACUCAACCAUUUUAAAUUCUAAAUUAAAUUACAAAUUAUUAGAUUAGGGUUACUGCCGCGUUUUAGCUUGAUAGGCUAGGUAAAUAAUCUUUCUCAAAUUCUGAGAUUAUUUGAGAUUAUAAGAACUAUUAACUGCUGUAUCAACUCAAUAUUUACCCUGAAUCGAUUAAUAAAAAUGGUCAUUUUUUAAAUUGAAGCUAAUCAACCGAAUGUUUUAUAAAAAUUCUCAGAAAUUCAAAGUUUUCGAGAUUUUUUUUUUAAACGAGAUACAACUGAUUGAAUCGUUUAAAAAAUUUGUAGCGAUUAUAAUUACAUACAAUGAGUGCAGCACGAGGAGGAAAUAGGUCGAUCGGUUUCCAAUGCAAGCAUACAUUGCCUCUAUUGACCGUCCAGAAAUGUAAUGUUUUUCACCUCCCCAUAUUCAGCUCCAAGUGAGAAUAAUGAAGGGUAAAUGUAGCUGGAAGACACGGCCGGGUAGUAGUACAGUAAAAGAAAGGGAAGGUAAUAACAUAUACGGACAAACAAUGCUGUUGAAUCUUCUUGGCCGGAGAAAAAGGAAGAAAUUUUGAGGGAGAAGACAGCGAGAAGAGAGAAAACAAUAAGGGAGAAUCGCCACAAACGCCAUGCAGACUGCAAAGCACGUGGCGCUGGGGCAUAGCAUGACAUAUGGAAAUACAGGAAAGACGCAUGUUGAAAACAAAACACAGAGGAACGGGAACGGGGAAAUUUCCGGAAAAAGCCCAACAGGGGCAAAAAAUUGCUAUCAGAGAAACACAUGACAAGGGACAUCGAAGCAUGCCUUACAUAUCGUUCGAAAAAAAAUGGAGGAAGAG